AUGCUGGACUGGCGGUGGGAGAGACCAGAGGAAUGGAGCUGAAGAAUUUCCCAGGGCUGAGCAAAAAGCCAGCCUUCAUGAGAAAAAGGGGGCUACAAAUCCUGAAGAGACCAAGUAAAAUGUAUGGAAAAGCCUCAGGUGAAAUACAGACAAAAGUUGCAGCCAAAGGGGCCUUUUCGCCUGCCACCCCAUCUGGAGACAGUGACCCCCAGCAGCAAGAAGCUGAUUAUCCUGCACCUUCUGGUGCAGACCUUUCCAUGCAGUCCCAGCCUCCCCUGGCUGAGAGGCAAUGGCACUCACCACCAUCGGCGGGGACGUGGCGGUGCCAUGGGGCCAGGCAGAGGAGCACGAUGUGAGCAACGUUACCUGACCCACACCCUGUGUCCAGGUUUUCUGCACUAGAACAUGCCCACCAGUGACAUGACUCAGGCACAAAACAUGUCAGUCUGCUUGCCCUGGCACCGCUGCCAAUCAGCUUCAGUAGCUGUAAAUGAAGGAUUUGCAAAAUUAACUUUCCUUUUUUUUUUUUCUUUUUUAUUAGUGGAGUAUGAAAACAGGCAAUAAUUUUACAGAAAGCAGGACUGGCACAAUUGGUACAUAGCAUCAUGCUGCAGCUUUUUGGAAAUGAAUAUAAACUCUUUUUUUUUCCUUUUACCUACCAGAAUAAAUAAAUAUGAUACACA